rnacentral:rRNA from 1 species
GAUCAAGCGACUAAGUGCAUGUGGUGGAUGCCUUGGCGAUCACAGGCGAUGAAGGACGUGUAAGCCUGCGAAAAGCGUGGGGGAGCUGGCAAUAGAGCAUUGAUCCCACGAUGUCCGAAUGGGGAAACCCGGCCCGCAAGGGUCAUCUCACACUGAAUACAUAGGUGUGUAGAGGCGAACCGAGCGAACUGAAACAUCUAAGUAGCUCGAGGAAAAGAAAUCAACCGAGAUUCCGUAAGUAGUGGCGAGCGAACACGGAAGAGCCUGCACGACUAAACCAUCAGCUUAGCAAAAC